CGUGGCAUGAGCUGGCAUUCCUAAUAUGCAACAGAAUGACGCUCCUCAAAGAGCCAGAGCAUAGGCCAUUAUUUUCUGGAUUGUAUCAUGAACAAACUUCACCCUAGUUGAAGGGAUUAGCAGUAGCAGCAGGAGGCCAUAUUUCAGAUGCCUUCCCUUCCAUUUGAAGAAAAAAAAAGCUCUGUUGAAUUGGAGUGCUCAUGUGUCUUCAUUUCAGUGUCAACUCAUGAAAGUUCUCCUUUAUACUCAGGAGCCUGACAUUCCGUGCGAGGAGACAAGACUAGCCCCUCAACAAUUGGAGAACCAUAUGCCAAAGGGGAUCAUUCAUUAGAAACUAUGAACUACAGAACAAUGGUGUUACGCUAACUAAGGAACUAGAGAAGAAUAUGGAAUAUAAUAAUCAGGGAAAAAUUCAUGAAAUAAGUAGUUCAGAUAAAUCCUGAGAAAAAAAUAUAGAAACAAUAAAGAAGAAAAGAAUACUGAUGGUUGAAGAAGA
rnacentral:lncRNA from 12 species